UAUUGCAAUCACCGAGUAACCACACCCGGAAUUUUGGAUUUUUAGUUUUUUCUGCAUAUAUAUUUUCUGAGCCCUAAUACUUUAUUGUGAGAAUAUUAUCCGUCGCUUCUAGGGAUUUACUAUGGAAAAUACAGUGAAACGUAAUGUGAGAUAUCAAAAAUGUACUAUUUGUGGUCUAAAGAGGACCCCUGGACUGGAGCCAAUGUAUUUUUGAAGAAGUUUCCACUUGAUCCAGAUCGGUGUCAUUCUUGGGUCAAAGCAGUUGGUAAUGAAGACUGCUUACAUACCCGUUAAAAAAUUGCAUGAAAUUAAAUAUUUGUGUGGAUAUCACUUUGAAAAAAAGUAUUUUAAUACAAAGGGCAAUAGAUUAAUUAAAAAUGCUAUUCCAACAUUAAAUUUGCCACAACCAUUGGAUGACAGUCUUUUGGUAGAUUUUCCUUUAUAUGGUGAAGAAAAAGAAAAAUC